AAGCUUCCCAUCUCACACUCUUUCUUUCUCUCUCUCUCUCGUUCUUUUUUCUUUUCUUUCUCUCUCUAACUCCACUGAGCAUUUUCCAAAAGAACCCAAAAGAGACGGAAGAAGAGAGAAAGAAAAAAAAAAAAAAAAAAAGACACAGAAGAUGAAUUUAGUGAAAGAAAAUACCACAAGAUUAUCUCUGCAAAAUUCACCAUGAAAGCUCCUGCGCAUCAUCAAUUCAAUCUCUUCUUUUUUGUCUUUGUUUCAUUCACCAUUCCUACAUCAAGAACCGGCAGCAGUGCUCUUAUCCUCCCACUUAAAGAAACAGUUCGGAGUGCUGAAUUCCACAGGAGAAUUCUGCAUCAGCCGUUGUUUCCGGCUAGUUCUGCCCCGCCACCUAGCACAGAGUCAUCGUCUCCUCCUCCGCCGCCGGACAAUUCGGCGUUUCCUAACCCGAACCAGCCGUUUUUCCCAGAGGUUCCAUCCGGGCAGAACCCGGAUCAGAGCCAGUCACCGCCUGCAGCACCGGCAAAUGGCAGCAUACCUAUCCCGGCGGCCACGCAGCCAGCAAAGCCGGCGAAGAGAGUGGCGAUUGCCGUCUCAGUCGGGAUCGUCACUCUCGGUAUGCUCUCUGCGCUAGCAUUCUUUUUGUAUCGUCACAGGGUCAAGCACCCCAGCGAGACACAGAAGCUCGUCGGAGGAGCCAUAGGCAAUUCCCGUAGCUCCCAUGAGGAUUCUAGGAUUCCGCCAUCGAGUUUUCUUUACAUUGGGACUGUUGAGCCCGGCAGGAGAUCGGUCAGUGAACCCAACGGUGAAAGUACUGGAGCCAACGGGUCGCCAUAUCGUAAGCUAAAUUCUGUCAAGAGAUCGGAUCGAUACCGUCCUAGUCCCGAGCUGCAGCCACUUCCGCCGUUGGUUAAGCCCCCGCCGACAGGGAAUUCUCCGUCUGCAAUGUCGUCCUCCGACGAGGAGAGUCACGACACGGCGUUUUACACGCCACAAGGCUCGACAGUCAGCAAUGAAGAAACUUAUUACACGCCAGUUUCGCGGUGUGUUAACGUGAAUAACGGUGUUCAUGUCAAUAGCUCUGUCCCUCACUCGAAGAGAACUUCGCCGAAACAGAGAUUUUCAGCUUCCUCGCCGGAAAUGAAGCAUGUUAUUAUACCCUCGAUCAAGCAACCACCAUCAACACCGCCGCUUCCGCCACCGUUGCCACGAGCAACAGCUCAUGCACCGGCGAGCCCACUAGCAGCUACUUAUUCACCCAAAAAGCCGAAGUUCACACCACCACCUCCUCCACCAAACAUGGCGCUUACCAACAGCAAUAUAUCCACACAAGUCACCAAAACUCCAGCUCCUCCUCCUCCUCCUCCUCCGCCGCCGCCACCACCGCCUGCUCUGUUAUCAUAUUCACAUAGGAAAAUUGUGAACAGGCAGACAAACGUUUCUACAGUGGCUGUCAAUUCGUUGCCGAAGCAACGGUCCCAAACACCGAGCCCCAAGAGCAGCAGCAGUUCGGGUUCGAGACCAACAAGACUUGUGGAAGACAUUGAGAAAGUACCCAGUUCGUCGGAGAGGACUGAAGGAGACGACCCAGAUGGAGGCAAACCAAAGUUAAAGCCUUUGCACUGGGACAAAGUACGGGCAACGUCAGACCGAGCCACGGUGUGGGACCAGCUCAAAUCAAGCUCGUUUCAAUUAAAUGAGGACAUGAUGGAGACUCUUUUUGGCUGCAAUUCCACCAAUUCAGUGCCAAAGGAACCCAUAAGAAGAUCUGUUCUACCUCCUGUUGAGCAGGAAAACAGAGUGUUGGAUCCAAAGAAGUCACAGAACAUUGCUAUACUUUUGAGGGCAUUGAAUGUAACAAGAGAUGAAGUGUCCGAAGCACUUUUAGACGGUAAUCCAGAUAGUUUGGGUGCUGAACUUUUGGAAACACUCGUGAAGAUGGCUCCCACAAAAGAGGAAGAAAUAAAACUUCGGGAGUACAGUGGUGAUAUCUCAAAACUAGGAUCUGCAGAACGUUUCCUCAAGACAGUUCUUGAUAUCCCAUUUGCUUUUAGAAGAGUAGAAGCAAUGCUAUACAGGGCCAACUUUGAUACAGAAGUUAAAUACCUCAGAAAGUCUUUUCAAACCCUGGAGGAAGCAAGCGAGGAACUGAAGAACAGCAGGCUGUUCCUCAAACUCCUUGAAGCUGUUCUCAGGACAGGAAACCGGAUGAAUGUUGGCACCAAUCGUGGUGAUGCCAAAGCUUUUAAGCUUGAUACACUCCUGAAACUUGUAGAUGUAAAAGGAACGGAUGGGAAGACAACACUGCUCCACUUUGUUGUCCAGGAAAUUAUUAGAUCUGAAGGUGCAGGUACUGACUCUACAAAUGAGAACCUUGAGAAUAAAACACAGUCCAGCAUGAAAGAGGAUGAUUUCAGGAAGCAAGGAUUGCAGGUUGUGGCUGGGUUGAGCAGGGACCUAAGCAAUGUGAAAAAGGCAGCAGGGAUGGACUCGGAUGUCUUGAGCAGUUACGUAUCAAAGCUUGAAAUGGGCCUUGAGAAAGUACGACAAGUUUUGCAAUUUGAGAAGCCAGGUAUGUCAGGGAAAUUCUUCAAUUCAAUGAAGAUAUUUCUCAAAGAGGCUGAAGAAGAUAUUGCUAAGAUCAAGUCUGAUGAAAGAAAGGCUUUGUUGCUUGUGAAAGAGGUUACUGAAUAUUUUCAUGGGGAUGCAGCAAAGGAGGAAGCCCAUCCUUUCAGAAUUUUCAUGAUUGUUAGAGAUUUCCUCUCCGUGCUGGAUCAUGUCUGCAAGGAAGUGGGCAGGAUGCAGGAAAGAACAAUGGUUGGUUCUGCAAGAUCCUUCAGAAUAUCUGCCAAUGCUCCCUUGCCAGUUCUCAACAGGUAUAAUGUGAGACAAGAUAGAAGUUCAGACGAGGAAAGCUCAUCACCUUGAAAUUAUGUGAAUAUGAUGCAUUGCUUGGAAGACAUCCUAUCACCCGUACUCCCAUGGUUUAUAGAUACGCUCAUUUUCAAUUGAAGCAACAGCAGAGUUUUUUUAUUUGUUUUUAUGUUACAAGUACAUCAAGGAGUAAGAUGAUGAAGAAGCAACGAAACCCACGUAAGAAGUCUUCGUUUUAUGAAGAAAGUCCAAAUUUACACGGGAAGACAGACAUUUUAUGAACAAGUUCCAGCUUCUUCCUGAAAGAAAAGCUCAUGAGAAUUGCAGACACAUACUGUUCACAUACAAUAAGAAGACAGAAUUUGUUUACCAAGAAUAGACAAGGACAAUGAAAGAUAUUGUUGUUGAAAGAUGGGGAAAUUUUGGCAGGCAAAACAGAAAACAAGACAUUAACAUUAUGACGUUGAAGCAUGUUCAUCAAACACUAGAAGGUUGCUGCAAGUUGGUCUACAAAUAAAUGCCCGUGAACCUAAUGUACGCUAAGACAAGAAGAAGAAGAAGAAGAAAUUAAAUCCAACAAUAAACAAUUACAGCACAAAAUGCUGAAUAUCCACAGUGGAUAUGGCCUUGCCAGACUGAACCUACCCUGUAUAUAAAAUACUAUUCCAUCGA